rnacentral:rRNA from 1 species
CAGCAGCCGCGGUAAUACGGAGGGUGCAAGCGUUACUCGGAAUCACUGGGCGUAAAGGACGCGUAGGCGGUUAUGUAAGACAGGUGUGAAAUCCCCGGGCUUAACCUGGGAACUGCGCUUGUGACUGCACAGCUAGAGUAUGGCAGAGGGGGGUGGAAUUCCACGUGUAGCAGUGAAAUGCGUAGAGAUGUGGAGGAACACCGAUGGCGAAGGCAGCCCCCUGGGCCAAUACUGACGCUCAUGCACGAAAGCGUGGGGAGCAAACAGGAUUAGAUACCCCGGUAGUCCCUGUCUCUUAUAC